UGGGGAAUAUUGCACAAUGGGCGCAAGCCUGAUGCAGCCAUGCCGCGUGUAUGAAGAAGGCCUUCGGGUUGUAAAGUACUUUCAGCGGGGAGGAAGGGAGUAAAGUUAAUACCUUUGCUCAUUGACGUUACCCGCAGAAGAAGCACCGGCUAACUCCGUGCCAGCAGCCGCGGUAAUACGGAGGGUGCAAGCGUUAAUCGGAAUUACUGGGCGUAAAGCGCACGCAGGCGGUUGAUUGAGUCAGAUGUGAAAUCCCCGGGCUUAACCAGGGAAUUGCAUCUGAGACUGGUCAGCUAGAGUCUUGUAGAGGGGGGUAGAAUUCCAUGUGUAGCGGUGAAAUGCGUAGAGAUGUGGAGGAAUACCGGUGGAGAAGGCGGCCCCCUGGACAAAGACUGACGCUCAGGUGCGAAAGCGUGGGGAGCAAACAGG
rnacentral:rRNA from 1 species